AGUGAACGCUGGCGGCAGGCCUAAUACAUGCAAGUCGAACGGCAGCACAGCAGAGCUUGCUCUGUGGGUGGCGAGUGGCGGACGGGUGAGGAGUACAUGGGAAUCUGCCCAGUCGUGGGGGAUAACGUAUGGAAACGUACGCUAAUACCGCAUGCGCCCUAAGGGGGAAAGCCGGGGACCGCAAGGCCUGGCGCGAUUGGAUGAGCCCAUGUUCGAUUAGCUAGUUGGCGGGGUAAAGGCCCACCAAGGCGACGAUCGAUAGCUGGUCUGAGAGGAUGAUCAGCCACACUGGAACUGAGACACGGUCCAGACUCCUACGGGAGGCAGCAGUAGGGAAUAUCGGACAAUGGGGGCAACCCUGAUCCAGCCAUGCCGCGUGAGUGAAGAAGGCCCUCGGGUUGUAAAGCUCUUUUGUCCGGAAAGAAAAGCAUCUGGUUAAUACCCGGGUGUUCUGACGGUACCGGAAGAAUAAGCACCGGCUAACUUCGUGCC
rnacentral:rRNA from 1 species